UCAGACGCUCUGCUCACGCAGGCGUGCCCCGGAGGCUGAAGACGUUGCUCUUGUUUGCGGGCUUCCUCCGUCAGCUGAACAGCCGACGUGCGCCACCCACCUUGCCUUCCCGAUCUCAUUGACGCUCACGGCCCCCGUGGGAGACAGAGCGGCACCCGAGCGCUGAGCGACGUGACACCGACCCCGCAGUUUUCCGCGGUCCGAACGAUUGCAUAACCGCUCCUGACAGCAGUUCAGAUCUGGCUUGCUCAGCGGCAACGUUUCAAGAUUUACGCUCAGCGAACUGUAGCAACGCGGCGACGUUUAACAUCCCGGAACGUGAAGAACAGCGCUGGCGCGCAUAGCUGCGGACGAAACGAGGACAGUUCUCGGGAGUCAAGGCUGCAGUCGACCCUUCGCCGCCCCACUCACCAUUUCGCUGAUCCGGCUGCUUGAGUCGUCUGGUGUGUCCGUACCGAACAAACUUGUGCCGCAGGUGCACAACGCUGAUCACCGAGACCUACAGCCCUUGACUGGACCGACGCUGUCGCUUGGACUGCUAUGUCCAUCAACCGCCUGGAACAACGCCGCGAAGUGCCAUAGCGCGCGUCACAAGUAAUCAACGCUCCCAGGAUGAUCUACUCGGUUCCUCCAGGAGGCCGUGCCAAGCAGACCGUUGUCAUCGUCUCUGCACCCACUGGCAGAAUGCAAGGCCAGGGCUUCCCCGACACUCACACGACCACCACAACCACUACAACAACCAAGUCUGCCUCAUGGCUGGUGUUUGACCCAUCAUAUCUGCGCACCUUGCCAGGCAUCCUGAAAGGAGCACAAAUUAUUAUCAGCCUGAUUGGAUUCAUCUGCUCUCAAUUGGACUACUACUUUCCGAGCACAUCCAACUGGUAUGGCUUUGUGUCAAUGACUGCAUUCUGGGUCACCCUGGUGCUCCUCUUCUUCUACGUUUUUCGCCUGAUUGAGAAGAUCAAGAUUGUUCCUUGGAUGCUUGCGGAGUUUGUGUACUGUGGUGUCUGGGCUACCCUGUAUUUUACAGCUGCUAUAGCUGCAGCUGUCAAAGGCAGAUAUCAAGAAUGUCUUGCAGCUGCUGCUUUCUUUGGUUUUGUGGCCAUGAUCCUGUAUGGUGCCGAUGCCUUCUUCAAGUACAAAGGCUGGAAGUCUGGAGAGCCUGCCCAGGGUGAGAGAUCGGUGCCCAGUGCAGGGCUUGGAGCUUCAAACACGGUGUCACCUACCAGCCCCAACUACCCUGCCUACUAACCAUGCACGCUACUAAGGCAUGCACCCACACCUCGGGCUAAGACCAGUCUGAGUGAAGAAAGGUGUGGAGACGAACCUUGCGAGUCAUGCAUUCGGCACUAAAAUGGACGGCCACUAGGGUGUCAGUGAUGGGAGGCAGCUGCUGCAAUGGGAAACCAAAACAGUGAAGAAGAGGAGUGGCACUUGUCAUACUUUUCUUACUUUGGCUGUAUCACCUUUUUCUUUGUGUUUACGCAUAUUUGAGGGCUUUAUAAAUGGGAGUGUGCUAGGAGGAAAACUAAGUUAACAUUUCGCAGUCGACAUAUUAGGAGAUAAGAAGUUUUUGUAGCGCUCACGUCUGCUGUUUUAAUUUUAUCUGUCAUUUGCCUGUUUGCUUCAUGAUUGAGAAAGACUUUCAGCUGUUGCAAAUGAACAGAGAAGUUUUCAGCUUAUCGGCUGCUAAGAGCCGAUAUGCAGUGCUCCUGCACCCCUCUAUUUGUAAAAGAGAAGUAUAGUACCAAAGUAUAUUUUUUAUUUGCUGCCACAGGGCAUUGUAGUGUUUUAUUUAAAGCCUUGCAUUCAGGAAAAACAGUUGCAUUCAGCACAAAUGUUGAAUGCCCUGUUUUUGAUGCAUGGAGGCACUAACAUUUUUUUAUGUGAUUGUGUGCAAAUGAUCUUUUAUGCACAUUUUUGGCAUCAGUACAAGCAUAAAAUUUUAUUGGAGAAUAUUGAUAUGAUUGUUAUGUAUAUAAGUGGUCUAUAAAAUGUCUUUAAAAUGUUAUGUGGCCUAGCUUGCCUUGUGUAGUAGGCAAAACGAAUGACAUCAGAUAUCUUAGUCUGAAACUGUCGUGAGAUACCUAUUAGGUUGUGUGCUAAACUGCUGCACUGUGAAUACGAAAGCAGCAGUUGCAUUAAGGCCUUUAGUUCUGCAUGAUUAUUAUCAUUAUCCUUUAUUAGUUUGUGGCAAGGGUGCCUUGCAGCUUUGCUAAUAUUGAUGCUUUGGAACUUGUUAGUACUUGCUGUGUGUAUUGCACGCAAACUACUGUCCUGAGCUGAGGCUGCACAUUUACAUCUUCAGAGGUUUACUAUACUUGUACUAAUGUUUGUUUAGUCUUAUAUUUAGCCCUGCAGUGAGCAUGGCCUUGACUUGUAUAGCCCUUCACUGUGGCGCUCUCAUGUAGUACAAAAGCAUCAGCUCAAGUUUUGCCAACGCCCUGAUUGUCCUCCUCGUAAGCUGUUCAUGUAGACGGUAUGUGACAGUUUUAUCUGUAUGUUACAGUCACUUCCUUUUUCUUAUUUUUCUGGGGCCUAGAUGUUGUUAAAUUUGUGCAUAUUUCCACUGCACAUUCAACAAAAACUGAACAAGCAUAGAGUCAGUGAUGUGUUGCUUAUGUUCAAUGCCUUGUUCCUCUCAUAGAAAUUAUUUACACUGUGUACAUUGUUCUCUAUCUGCAGUAUCAUUGUAGUGAUAUAUGUGUCCUUAAAGUGUUUCUGCCUUUCCAUUACCUUGGAUGUGUGAAAAUGCAGUUUGUGCAUUCAUGUUACAUCCACUUUAAGGCCUGCCACUUGCAGGGCAUUUUGCAGCGUAGCACAUGCUGCGUGCCAUGAAUGAAUGAAUGGCCACUGCAGAUGGCACCACUGUAAAAUAUACCAUUAACUUGGUUUACUGUUGUUGAAAUUUAUUUCUAGAGAAUGCUUCUCAAGUUGAGCUAUUUCACACACACAAUAUAAUUCAAAAUUUAUAACCCUUUUACUUGUUUCACUUCUGUUAUUCUGUUCAAAUGCCACUGCUUGUCUACAGACUUGCUGAGAUCAAGGUAUUCGGUCACAUAUGCUGGGUUACCUUUUGAUCUUUUCCUUUCUACACCUUUUAUUGAUUUAUUCAAGGCAAACAAUUUGGUAUUAGAUAUGGCGAUAUUUGAGGACUAAUGUAACUGUAAUCUCUAAGCUCACUAGCCGGUGAGAUUUCUUUUUCCUCUCAUUCUUUUAUUGCCCUGAUAUGUCAUUUGAUAAGACUGCUUGUCUAGUGGUCUCACUAGGCUGCGACUUUUCACUAAGCAACCUUGUUGCAACAUUUUUGAAUCGUGCCAAGGUGUCCACAAAAUUCUUGCUCUUCCUGUUGUAUGAGGACACCCUGAGCAUGUUGUUUGUUGAUUGAAUUGUGCCAUAACAUAUAUAGCAGUUUGCAUCUUGGCUGUAACGUUGGAGACAAUGAACAUGAAUGUGCCACAUGACUGGCAGUAGUAGGGAGGGUUAUUUUCGUAUGACAUGGCACCCAAAAAGUGUUUUAUUUAGAAUGCUGCAGUGCUGAAUCUCUCGCUGAACAACCUGCAUGCUCAUUUGCACUUGUUCCCAAAUUGCACUUACAUCCACCUUCUGUCAGUCUGUUGUAGUUGUGCCAGGCCUACAAGCAACGCACAUACCAAACCUGCUUUGUCUGUGCUAGAUAGAGCAUUUAUCAUUUAUUGUUGUGAAAAUGUGUAUGGAUGGCAACUAUGUAUACAUGCAAGGAUAUCUGGGCUGGUAGGGCGGUUGAAAGGAUGCCCACAUAUAAGUAGCUCCUUCAGGAAAUGGUGUUAUGUGUAAAACCACUGCCAAAUGGGUGGGAAUGUGUUUGUGUGUGUGUGUGUGUGCAUGUGUGGACACAGUGUUGGAGAAAGAAGCCACAUUACUUGGGGCCGUAACAUCGAAGACUUUGCCAGUCACCUGUUUCUUGUGCUGUUGAUUAUCUUUUCAUCACUGGCAUGGUUAGGUUCAUGUUUGUUUCUCUCAUUUGUGACCUUGCCAGAAGUGUAGCCUUGCACUGUUGAAAUUGUAUUGGUUGACUUGUGUUACAACAUGAAAUGCGUGUUUUGAACAUACAUGAAAGAUCAGUGCUGACGCAAAGAAAAUAUCAGGCAUUGUUAAAUGUAAUGUCUCUUUUGCACGGCUUUCGUAUCUUGAAGCUCUUUGUGCUCACUUAGUUUUCAAGUACUAAUUUGGCGUGUAGAAGCAAAUGCAACUUCAUGUUGUUCUAGCUGGUGAAAAGGUGUCAUUAUUUGAUACAAUUGUUGUCCAUGUUACUGGAUUACGGAAGUGUAGUAGUUUGCCAUGGAAAAAUACUUCUCACUUUGUUGUAAAUUGGCCCUGGUUUAAAAUCGGAUUUAAGAAUAACAGGUGUAUUGCACCUUUUGGCUGAUUGGUUUAAUGCCACAGACGUGGCAAAUAAAAUGCCAUGUUUGAUCAGGUUCAGUGCAGCA
rnacentral:misc_RNA from 1 species